AAUCAAAUCUGGCUCCUCUGUUUCUUCUAAAGCUUUCUUUUGAGGUAGCCUUGGUAAGCUGUCCAGGCUGGCCUUCAACUCUCCAUUAUUGUGCCUCUGAGAGGCUGGGAUAACCAUGCCAGACUGUUGACUUUUGUUGAGGUAAAAUAAAUUACAUAUAAUUUAAGCUUAUAAAAUAUCUUGCAAAUUUUCACAUAUUUCCAAGAGAUCAUCAACAUAAAGAACCAAACAUGUGCUGUUAGUAACCCUUUCCUUCCCAUUCCCUGUUCUCAGGCUUUUGGACAUUAUAGAGUAGUUUAUAUUUUGACAUUAUAGAGUAGUUUAUAUUUUGACAUUAUAGAGUAGUUUAUAUUUUGACAUUAUAGAGUAGUUUAUAUUUUGACAUUAUAGAGUAGUUUAUAUUUUGACAUUAUAGAGUAGUUUAUAUUUUGUAGAAUUUCUGUGAGUGCAGUCAUGCACCUGUCCCCUACCCCUUUAUUUUGGUUCAGCUUUUUCACACAGCAUUUUUUUUUUAUUUGAGAUUUGCCCAUAUUGUUCCAUAUAAAAAAGUCAUUGCUUUUUAUUGCUGAGUGAUUUCCAUGGUUAAGCAUUUGUGUAUCUGUUGUUGGAAAUAUAGAUUGUUUUCAUAAUUUUGCCAAUUGCAUAUUAAAUUUAUACAAAUGUCUAUAUACACAUUUUUCCAUAGUCAAAUGAUUUUUUUAAUUUUUAAAAAUUAUUUUUUUAUUUAUUUGUAUGUGGGUACAUAUGUGUCCCAGUAUGUUUGGACGUCAGAGUCUAGUUAUCAGGAAUGGUUCUCUCCAGCCCACCUUGUGGGUCCUGGGGUGUGGUCAGGUGUCUGGCUUGAAAGCAAGUGUCUUUAUGUGCUUUUAACAUUCUCAUUGAUUCUGCUUUUGUUUCUUUAGGGCAGAUACACUUGUGUGAAACGAAUAGUUUCAUGGUAUAUGUCUGUUUAUAAGAAAUUGUCAUUGUUUUCUAAAGUGGUUUAUUGUAUAGUUUGUGGAGAGCUCUUAUAAGGAAUGAGAUCAGAGAUUUUGUUACUUUUUAUGCAUCUGUGAAAGGGAACAGGUUUUGUAUUUGCUUUUACUCUAAUAAGGUGAACUAUAUUGUGAACUUAGUGUUUGAACACAGCUUGCUAUACUCACAGUUUCGGAGCUCUGCCAUGCUUUUCCCAGGACUUCCAGGGGAAGGAUAAUCUCAACACUAGGAAGACUGAGACAGGAGGACUAUUCAAGAUGGGUUUCCUCAGUAGCCAGCUGAGUCUUUUUCCACACUGUGGCUCUGAUCAGUGCAGAUCCAUUUGGCCUACUCUCAUACCACUCUGAUCAUCUCUCUGCCUCACAGGCCUCUUCAUUGUAGAUGCAAAACUGUUUACCUGCUUAUUGUUGAAAUACGAAUUUUAAGAAAGAUGCUGGCUGGACAUGGUGUCUCACACUUUUGAGCCCAGCACUUGGGAAGCAUAGGCCAGAUUUCUGAAUUCAAGGCCAGCCUAGUGAGUUUCAGGGUGGUCAGGGCUACAUAGAGAGACGCUAUCUCAAAAACAAACAAACAAAAAAACCUUGCUGGUUCAUGUUUGAUGUUUUUUAAAUUAAAAAAGUGUCUCACUCUGUAGUUUAGGCUGGCCUUGAACAUGAGUCCUGUUUGGUCCUGUUCCUUUGCCUGUCUUUUUAGGUCUCUGCUUUUCCUUUCCUCUUCUUCCUCCUCCCUCCCCUUUCCUUCACGUUUCCUUCCCCUUCCCCUUCCUCUCCCUUUUCCUCCUUCUUCUCCUCCCCUCUUUCUUCUUCUUUUCCCUCCCCUUCUAUCUCCACUUUCCUUUAUGCUUUAAAAAAAUUAAUAAAUAUAGCUGGGUAUGAUGGCAUCUCAGCAGAUCAGGCAGAAACAGGAGAUCUGAGUUCAAGACCAGCUUGCUCUACACAGGGAGUUGCAGGGCAGCCAGGACUACACAAUGAGACUCUAUCUUU
rnacentral:lncRNA from 1 species